rnacentral:sRNA from 1 species
GCCGGAAAGAAAGCGGCUGCAGCGUCAGC